rnacentral:rRNA from 1 species
AGGGCACCACCAGGAGUGGAGCCUGCGGCUUAAUUUGACUCAACACGGGGAAACUCACCCGGUCCGGACACUUGCAUGAUUGACAGAUUGAUAGCUCUUUCUUGAACAAGUGGGCGGUGGUGCAUGGCCGUUCUUAGUUGGUGGAUUGAUUUGUCUGCUUAAUUGCGAUAACGAACGAGACUCUAGCCUACUUUAAAUACGUAGAGGGAUUUGGUUGGAGCUUGGUGCGCGUGGCCUCGUGUUGCGUGCACUUGAGUCUCCAAACUCAAAUCGCCUCUAAAGCUCUCACUCUUCACGGGGUGUUGAGUAACUUCUUAGAGGGACUCGAGUUGAUAAUUAACAUUCAAACUCAUGAAGUGGAGCAAUAACAGGUCUGUGAUGCCCUUAGAUGUUCGGGGCUGCACGCGCGCUACACUGUUAGAGACAGCGGGCCACAUGGCGUCAGCCUUCUCCCUUGGCCCGAAAGGGUGUCUUGGUCAUUUACGCGGAGUGCUUCACGGUGCUUCGUGCAAGUGGUCC